ACUGUGGCAGUUUCACCUCCCGAGUCUGUGCUGCAUCCCUGGCUGGUCAGUUCGCUUUAUGCUUCCCCAAUAAAUCCAUCUUUUUGCUUGAGACUGUCUCUGAGUGAUGGACUCUUGGAGCGACAGGGACUCCCCUCCCUUAAGCCCCAUAACAUUGAAUGGUAGACAGCUCAGGGA